CGGACGGGUGAGUAACGCGUGGGUAACCUGCCCUGUACAGGGGGAGUAACAGUCAGAAAUGACUGCUAAUACCGCAUAAGACCACAGCACCGCAUGGUGCAGGGGUAAAAACUCCGGUGGUACAGGAUGGACCCGCGUCUGAUUAGCUGGUUGGUGAGGUAACGGCUCACCAAGGCGACGAUCAGUAGCCGGCUUGAGAGAGUGAACGGCCACAUUGGGACUGAGACACGGCCCAAACUCCUACGGGAGGCAGCAUGG
rnacentral:rRNA from 1 species